UGGGGCGUAGCCAAGCGGUAAGGCAGCGGUUUUUGGUACCGCCACGCGGAGGUUCGAAUCCUCCCGCCCCAGCCA
rnacentral:tRNA from 2 species